GGUAGAUUUGAUGGCAAAGAGAUGUCUUUCGGGAACAGCUUCACUCCAGAUGAAAUCAGGAAGCCUCCUAUUUUUUUAGAUUGGCCGAUCAACGGAACAAAAGCGCUAUAUUGUUUACUUGCGAUAGGUAUAGAUGUUCCAAACAAAAAAAACCAAAGUUGCGAGAUUUUAGGCAUUGGUUUGUCGGUAACAUUCCCGGAACUGACAUAUCAAAGGACGGACGUACCUCCCAUAUAUUGGUGCAGGCGAUUUUCUAGACCAAGGUUCACAUCGGAUUGUAUUUGUAGUAUUCCAACAACCUGGUAGUAGAAGAAUCAAAUUUUACGAAAGAAAACUCACAAAAAUGGUGCCAAUAAAUAGGGCAAGAGGGAACUCGUCGACACUGAAGUUCGCCGAAAAAUAUAGCUUGAGGGAGCCGGUGGCAGCUAACUUCCUCACAGUUGAGACGGAUGUGCCUCAGUCAACGACGGACUACUACGCUCAUACGACGAUUGAAGUGCCCCCAGACUGGGAGGGCAUCAGUAUGAACCCGCAAAUGGUAGGCCUUACCAUCCCCUCCAUCCCAAGUGACGAGGAGUUCGAGAAGGAACUGAAGCUGAGCAGAAGUGAAAGACGAAGAGGGAAGAAGUCGAAGAAGAAGUCGGAGGAAGAGAAAUCAGGACCUUACGCUGAUUAUUAUGAAGAUGAUGAUGAUGAAGAUGAUGAGGGGGAUGAAGACCAAGUUAAGAAAGAGGACGAUGAGAGUGACAAAGGAAAAGACAAUAAAAAAAGUGAACAUGAAAAUAAGACGGAGAUAAAAAGGAAAAGGAAAAUGAAAAUAAAGAUAAAAAGAAAAAGGGAACUGAAGAUGAAAAGAAAAAGGAAAAUAAAGAUAAAAGGAAGAAGGAAAAUAAAGAUAAAAAGGAAAAGAAAAAUAAAGAUAAAAGAAACAGGAAAAUAAAAAGAAAAGGAAAAAUGAAAAUAAAGAUGAAAUGUAAAAAUUUCUUAUUCGAUGGAUUUUAUUUUAGCCCCGCAUUAUCAACGAUUGCCGUGAGAAGUACCUUUACGUCUGUUCAUUAUGACGUUUUACAAAAUGAAACCGUUUUCUUUACUCAAUAUUUAAUGGAAAUCCACAAAAAGUUUCUGGUCCAAGAGGUCGCUCAUAUUUGAGCGUUCCAUACGUACCUAUUCAUCGGUAUGUACGCUUUUGAGUCCGUCUUAUGUAGAACUGGCACUAAACCCGCACCACGCGUGGGAUGGGACCAAUUUUAAUUUGCGGCACAAAAUAGCACAAAAUUAGCCCAAAAUUAUGAUAUAAUUUUUUAUUUAAGAUUCGUAUGUGGGGGGCUGUGGAAAUGGAGCCGCCAAUGGUAGCAAAUGCAUCCAAUGCAUCUAACCACAGAAAAGCACAUACUGUAGUCGCGUCCAUUUAUUUUUUAAUAUAAAUGGAAGAAUUCCGAGAUUCCUGUGCGGCGCCGGGUCCCUUUUUUGAUACUUAAUCGAUUGUUUGCGAUACACGGGACCCGGCCAUAUUCCCUACCACCAUUUUGGAUCGAAUGUGUAUCGAAAAAGUGACCCCGCACACCGGGCUCGGAACUCGUCGAGCAGAACAUGGCGCCAGCUCUCCCACUUAUACAUUACGACUAUAUGUACUCUAUGGCUGUUUGCGGCUUUGGGCUGAAGAAGUCAUGGACCAAGAGCAUAAGGACCCCCAACUCCAGUUAGCGGUGACAUCAGCGCUGCCUGGCAGAGGGUCUAUUGAACUAAACCGACGAUUGGGUUCUCCUGUUCAUGUUUCCAUGCACCACAUAUUUAGGCUUAUCACUCAGUGCUCAUAGAGGUUUCUCGAUCCUCGUAGUCGUCCUGAAGUUCUGAAGAGUUUAGUGGGAAAAGUUUUCCAUUUUCAUUUCAAUCUUCGUCAGUCUUCGGGUAUACAAACCGUUAAUAAUGUGCAGUGCUAAGAAGCCCCCUCCAACGCUUUGACGUUGGAAUUGCUUGUUUUCUCAUUUAACGGUUCUACCCUGAUUCCAACGAUAACUUACAACAAAUCGCAAUAUGUCACAAUUUAUUGCUAUGUAUGAGUGCAUGUCCUUCAAGAGGCAACGUUUAUUACGCAUUAUAGAGUUUUAAGAGAUCGUUAUAUUUGUUCGAUUUUGGCGUGAAAAACGUCUUUGCAAGACAAUGUCAUAUCGUCGGAAAGAGUUUGCAAAACCUCACAUGUGAUAUGCUAAAAAUCCCUCGUUUUCUACAUAUAUUUAAAGUGUAUUCUACCAGAAUUAUUCACAAUUCCACAUCACGUUAUAGAAUUAUACGCACGAAUUAUGAUUUGCUCUUGAAAUUAGUGGUGAACGAGUCUAUUUAAUCAACGUACACGUUCUGAUGAAUCAUCUCCUGAAAAAUUAAUGGAAGUGUUAACUUGAAAAUGUUUAAAAAUAAAAACUAAAAACUAGCCCCCAAGCGACUUUCAGUUUUGGAUCACCGAACAAUUGAAGCCUUAAGUGAAGUAAUUGAUCAAUUAUUAAUUUAAAACACCCAUAAUACAACAAUUUAAAACUGUUCUUUGAUUGUGAGUGGUGGACAAAAAUAUAAAAAUGAAUAUAUUAGGAUUCUACGCCGCAUUUGUUUACUGGACUGGAACAUAUGGAAUGGCGGUAUCGUCGGAUGUACUCAAUCCGAUUCCUGAAUUUGAGCAGAGUUGGCUACUGAAAGAGCGGAUAGUUCCGGAUUUGGUUUCAGUCAUUCCGAGGCAUUCCUAAUAGUAAGUUCUUACUCGAGUAAUCAAGCAAUAUUUGUAUAAUUGGGUAAAAUGAGCAGUAAGUCAGUCUUUUUUACAUGGAUACUUGAAGGAUGUAAUAUCCGUGUCUGAAACUACAAGGGCUUUGGUCUGUGGAAGUAUUCCGUUUAGACAUUUUUUGUUGCAGAGUUUUUUAGCCAAAGUGCGUUAUAAUUUGAGCAUAAAACUGAAAAUCUCAAUAUAGAGGGAAAAAGCUCAUAUGAGCACAAUUUUCCCUCAAAAAGAUUUGCUGUUUGGUGCAACACUGUGCUCAUAUGAGCUUUUUCCUUCUGUAUUGAGAUUUUCAGUUCUAUUCUG
rnacentral:lncRNA from 1 species